rnacentral:rRNA from 1 species
GAUGAACGCUGGCGGCGUGCCUAAUACAUGCAAGUCGAGCGAACGGACGAGAAGCUUGCUUCUCUGAUGUUAGCGGCGGACGGGUGAGUAACACGUGGAUAACCUACCUAUAAGACUGGGAUAACUUCGGGAAACCGGAGCUAAUACCGGAUAAUAUUUUGAACCGCAUGGUUCAAAAGUGAAAGACGGUCUUGCUGUCACUUAUAGAUGGAUCCGCGCUGCAUUAGCUAGUUGGUAAGGUAACGGCUUACCAAGGCAACGAUGCAUAGCCGACCUGAGAGGGUGAUCGGCCACACUGGAACUGAGACACGGUCCAGACUCCUACGGGAGGCAGCAGUAGGGAAUCUUCCGCAAUGGGCGAAAGCCUGACGGAGCAACGCCGCGUGAGUGAUGAAGGUCUUCGGAUCGUAAUACUCUGUUAUUAGGGAAGAACAUAUGUGUAAGUAACUGUGCACAUCUUGACGGUACCUAAUCAGAAGGCCACGGCUAACUACGUG